rnacentral:rRNA from 1 species
UGGGGAAUAUUGCACAAUGGGGGAAACCCUGAUGCAGCAACGCCGCGUGAGUGAAGAAGUAUUUCGGUAUGUAAAGCUCUAUCAGCAGGGAAGAUAAUGACGGUACCUGACUAAGAAGCUCCGGCUAAAUACGUGCCAGCAGCCGCGGUAAUACGUAUGGAGCAAGCGUUAUCCGGAUUUACUGGGUGUAAAGGGUGCGUAGGUGGCAGUGCAAGUCAGAUGUGAAAGGCCGGGGCUCAACCCCGGAGCUGCAUUUGAAACUGCAUAGCUAGAGUACAGGAGAGGCAGGCGGAAUUCCUAGUGUAGCGGUGAAAUGCGUAGAUAUUAGGAGGAACACCAGUGGCGAAGGCGGCCUGCUGGACUGUUACUGACACUGAGGCACGAAAGCGUGGGGAGCAAACAGGAUUAGAUACCCUGGUAGU